rnacentral:tRNA from 1 species
GCCCGCAAGGUGUAACGGAACUUUGCACACGCCGCUUCUAACGGUGGAGGUUCCAGGUUCAAAUCCUGGUGCGGGCGCCA